ACGAUGACUCUCGGUAAUGGAUAUCUUAGCUCUCGCAUCGAUGAAGAAUGUAGUGAAAUGCGAUACCUGGUGUGAAUUGCAGAAUCCCGUGAACCAUCAAGUCUUUGAAUGCAAGUUGUGCCCGAGGCCACCCGACCGAGGGCAUGCCUACCUGGGCGUCAUGC
rnacentral:rRNA from 1 species